rnacentral:rRNA from 1 species
AAAAAGAACCUGAAACCGUGUACGUACAAGCAGUGGGAGCACGCUUAGGCGUGUGACUGCGUACCUUUUGUAUAAUGGGUCAGCGACUUAUAUUCUGUAGCAAGGUUAACCGAAUAGGGGAGCCGAAGGGAAACCGAGUCUUAACUGGGCGUUAAGUUGCAGGGUAUAGACCCGAAACCCGGUGAUCUAGCCAUGGGCAGGUUGAAGGUUGGGUAACACUAACUGGAGGACCGAACCGACUAAUGUUGAAAAAUUAGCGGAUGACUUGUGGCUGGGGGUGAAAGGCCAAUCAAACCGGGAGAUAGCUGGUUCUCCCCGAAAGCUAUUUAGGUAGCGCCUCGUGAAUUCAUCUCCGGGGGUAGAGCACUGUUUCGGCAAGGGGGUCAUCCCGACUUACCAACCCGAUGCAAACUGCGAAUACCGGAGAAUGUUAUCACGGGAGACACACGGCGGGUGCUAACGUCCGUCGUGAAGAGGGAAACAACCCAGACCGCCAGCUAAGGUCCCAAAGUCAUGGUUAAGUGGGAAACGAUGUGGGAAGGCCCAGACAGCCAGGAUGUUGGCUUAGAAGCAGCCAUCAUUUAAAGAAAGCGUAAUAGCUCACUGGUCGAGUCGGCCUGCGCGGAAGAUGUAACGGGGCUAAACCAUGCACCGAAGCUGCGGCAGCGACGCUUAUGCGUUGUUGGGUA